rnacentral:rRNA from 1 species
GUGCGGGUGGUAUCACCGCGUUCUGGCAUGGAUUCUGACUUAGAGGCGUUCAGCCAUUAUCCAGCAGAUGGUAGCUUCGCGGCACUGCCCGGUCGGACAGCCGCAAAAACCAAUUAUCUGAAUCAGCGGUUCCUCUCUUAG